GUCGAGCGGAUGAAUAGAACUUGCUCUCUGAUUCAGCGGCGGACGGGGGAAUCAUGCCUAGAAAUCUGCCUGAUACUGGGGGACAACGUUUCAAAAGGAUCGCUAAUACCCCAUACGUCCAACUGGAGAAAUCGGGGCACCUUCCGGCCUAGCGCUAUCAUAUGAGCCUAAGGCGGAUUAACUACUUGGAGAGGUAAUGGCUCACCAAGGCUACUAUCCGUAACUGGUCUGAAAGGAUGAUCCAUCACACUGGAACUGACACACGGUCCAGACUCCUACGGGAGGCAGCAGUGGGGAAUAUUGGACAAUGGGCGAAAGCCUGAUCCCUCCAUGCCGCGUGUGUGAAGAAGGUCUUCGGAUUGUGACGCACUUUAAGUUGGGAGGAAGGGCAUUAACCUAAUACGUUAGUGUUUUGACGUUACCGACAGUUUAAGCACCGGCUAACUUCGUGCCAUAAGCCGCGGUAAUACGAAGGGUGCAAGCGUUAAUCAAAAUUACUGGGCGUCCCUGGCGCUGCCUUGGUUUGUUAAGUUGAAUGUGAAAGCCCCGGGCUCAACCUGGCAACUGCAUCCGGUACUGGCAAGCUAUAUUAUGGCAGAGGGUGGUGGAAUUUCCUGUGUACUGGUGAAAUGCUUACAUAUGAGGUGGAACACCUGUGGCGAAGGCGACCACCUGGGCUAAUACUGACACUGACGUGCAAAAGCGUGGCGAGAAAACAGGAUUAGAUACUCUGGUAGUCCACGCCGUAAACAAUGUCGACUAGCCUGUGGGAUCCUUGAGAUCUUAUUGGCGUACCUAGCACUUUAAGUCGACCGCCUGGGCAGUACGAGCCCAAGGUUAAAACUCAAAUGAAUUGACGGGCGCCCGCACACGCGGUGUACCAUGUGGUUAUCUUCGAAGAUACUUUCCUAACCUUAGCUGGCCUUGACAUGCGUAACUUUGCCUGAUAUGCAUCUGGU
rnacentral:rRNA from 1 species